CUUCAGAAGAGCUGAAGCUGGUCUAGCUGCAGAGGCUGGACCAACAUCAUAUUAAACCCUAUGGAUCAGGACUGGGAUGUACCUGAAGCUCAUAUGUGAGUCAAGGCAGCUCAUCAAUGACCCACAUGUGACACAAGCUGCAGCUAACAGCAGUUUUGUGCCCUGAUGGUGCAACCAGCUUGAGAUCAUCUGACAGAUYAUCUCAACAUAUCCUAACUCCUGUUAAUGACCCACUGCCUGC